CUGCUAUAACAAAAUUUAAUUAAGAAUUACUUUUUCCAUGGAGACCCAGUGUGCAAUGGCUGCAUCAGUAGUGUACACAGCCUGUUGCCUAAGGGUUGCCCUAAGGGACCUUGGAAAUAGAC
rnacentral:snoRNA from 1 species